UAGGGAAUCUUCGGCAAUGGACGGAAGUCUGACCGAGCAACGCCGCGUGAGUGAAGAAGGUUUUCGGAUCGUAAAGCUCUGUUGUUAGAGAAGAACGUUGGUAGGAGUGGAAAAUCUACCAAGUGACGGUAACUAACCAGAAAGGGACGGCUAACUACGUGCCAGCAGCCGCGGUAAUACGUAGGUCCCGAGCGUUGUCCGGAUUUAUUGGGCGUAAAGCGAGCGCAGGCGGUUCUUUAAGUCUGAAGUUAAAGGCAGUGGCUUAACCAUUGUACGCUUUGGAAACGGGAGGACUUGAGUGCAGAAGGGGAGGGUGGAAUUCCAUGUGUAGCGGUGAAAUGCGUAGAUAUAUGGAGGAACACCGGUGGCGAAAGCGGCUCUCUGGUCUGUAACUGACGAUGAGGCUCGAAAGCGUGGGGAGCAAACAGG
rnacentral:rRNA from 1 species